AGUUUCAGUUUUAAUAUGAGUACUGUAGUAGACUAAGGAUUUAAAACAUUACAAUGUGGUAAACAGGACAGAAAUUGUCGAGUCACCAUGUUUUAACUCAACAUUCAAAUAUAAACAGGCAACGACAUUUUUUUUUAAAAUUAACCGUUAAAAUUCAAAAUAACGGACACGCGCGAGGCACUGUUACGUAAUCAGUAGCCUCUAAGCGGCGCGUGGAAGCGGACAGGUUCAGUACAGAUGCUCCAGCUGUGUCCAAGAUAAAAGCACAUUUUAUUUUAUUUACCGGCUUCACGUUGGAAAGAAACGAGGCUGCUGCUGCUGCUGUGGAGCUGGCACCGCCAGUCUUCAAGUUUCAGACAGGAGAGUUAAAGGAGGAGCCUGAGCGGAAGAGCUUUCCACAUUGUUACUAUGUGUUCUGCUGCCCCGGUGACCCCGGAGCUGAACUCUUCUUCUGACAGGUCUCUGAUGAGCAAGUGAGGAUACUCAGUGUUCACACCAGCAUGGCCCAGAUAAAGAGCCCUUCCUUCCUCCAUCCUGGCAGCAGUUGCCUUGAAAAGAAGCACACAUGCCAAAAAAAUGCCUCUUUGGCCCACUCUGGCUGGAGUGUGUUGUGCGAUGUGUGGGCCGGAUCGCUCUGGAGUUUCUGUCUUGUACAACGAGCAUUAGUCAUUUAGGUUGGUGGAUGAAGAGAACAAGUAGCUCAGGUGGGUGGAAGUGCCCUCACAUUGGAUCAUAGAGAGGCCUCAAAAACAACAGAACAAUACCUCUGAGAUGAGACGCUGAAAGAGAGCAACGUUUCUCCAAACAGGGCUUGGAAAUGUGUUUUAGAGCAGCUUAUGCCUAACAAAGAGGUAUUUGUUCUGUCUUUGCACCGAAUAUAAGGAUUUCUCAUUAAGCCAUUCAGGUUUUGUGUGUUUAUACGGUGCACUUAGUGACUAUAAUAGGGAAAAUGUAAAUUUCCUUGAAAUAAAAAGCGUGUUAUAGAGAUGGUCUGAUCAAAGAUGGACUAAAGAGGGACUGAAAAAUCUGGAAAUCUUGUUGCUCUGCCUCAACGCUCUGUGAUUUACAGAGUUUCCUGAUGGACAGUGAAGUCAACUGCUGCAAACUGUAGCUGCUAUUAGCUAAUGUUAGCUCAGUUUGUUAGUC